rnacentral:rRNA from 1 species
GGCUCAGGAUGAACGCUAGCUACAGGCUUAACACAUGCAAGUCGAGGGGAAACGAUAUUGGAAGCUUGCUUCCGAUAGGCGUCGACCGGCGCACGGGUGAGUAACGCGUAUCCAACCUGCCCAUCACUUGGGGAUAACCUUGCGAAAGUAAGACUAAUACCCAAUGACGUCUCUAGAAGACAUCUGAAAGAGAUUAAAGAUUUAUCGGUGAUGGAUGGGGAUGCGUCUGAUUAGCUUGUUGGCGGGGUAACGGCCACCAAGGCGACGAUCAGUAGGGGUUCUGAGAGGAAGGUCCCCCACAUUGGAACUGAGACACGGUCCAAACUCCUACGGGAGGCAGCAGUGAGGAAUAUUGGUCAAUGGACGAGAGUCUGAACCAGCCAAGUAGCGUGCAGGAAGACGGCCCUAUGGGUUGUAAACUGCUUUUAUAAGGGAAUAAAGUGCAGUAUGUAUACUGUUUUGUAUGUAUUAUAUGAAUAAGGAUCGGCUAACUCCGUG